GAGUUUGAUUCUGGCUCAGGAUGAACGCUAGCGAUAGGCUUAACACAUGCAAGUCGAGGGGCAGCAUGAUCUUAGCUUGCUAAGGUUGAUGGCGACCGGCGCACGGGUGCGUAACGCGUAUGCAACUUGCCUUACAGAGGGGGAUAACCCGUUGAAAGACGGACUAAUACCGCAUACACUUGUUUGGUUGCAUGAUCGGGCAAGGAAAUAUUUAUAGCUGUAAGAUAGGCAUGCGUCCCAUUAGCUGGUUGGUGAGGUAACGGCUCACCAAGGCUACGAUGGGUAGGGGAACUGAGAGGUUUAUCCCCCACACUGGUACUGAGACACGGACCAGACUCCUACGGGAGGCAGCAGUGAGGAAUAUUGGUCAAUGGGCGAGAGCCUGAACCAGCCAAGUCGCGUGAAGGAAGACUGUCCUAAGGAUUGUAAACUUCUUUUAUACGGGAAUAAACGGGCGAUANCGUGUAUUGCUAUGAAUNACCNUAAGA
rnacentral:rRNA from 1 species